UGCUCCUGCAGCUCCCUGGCCGCCUCAUUGGACGCCUCGGUGACGCACGUGGUGACAUCACAGGACCGCGACCCCGCCCUCCAGGAGGCGCUGAAGCUCCGCCCCUCGCUGCUCGUGGUGCGUCCCCAUUGGCUGCUGCUCUGCGGGCAGCGGCAGCGCCCCCUGCCGGCCCAGCCCUUCCUGGUGACGUCAGCGAUGACGUCAUCGGCGCCGCUGUGACGUCAUCGGCGCGCCCCACCCCCCUUCCCCCUCCCGGCCACGCCCCCUUUUCCAUUUCGAAUAAAGAGAAUUUGGGUAGAAAUUGA